rnacentral:rRNA from 1 species
AUUGAACGCUGGCGGAAUGCUUUACACAUGCAAGUCGAACGGCAGCACGGGGGCAACCCUGGUGGCGAGUGGCGAACGGGUGAGUAAUACAUCGGAACGUGCCCAGUCGUUGGGGAUAACGUAGCGAAAGUUACGCUAAUACCGCAUACGAUCUACGGAUGAAAGCGGGGGAUCGCAAGACCUCGCGCGAUUGGAGCGGCCGAUAUCAGAUUAGGUAGUUGGUGGGGUAAAGGCCCACCAAGCCAACGAUCUGUAGCUGGUCUGAGAGGACGACCAGCCACACUGGAACUGAGACACGGUCCAGACUCCUACGGGAGGCAGCAGUGGGGAAUUUUGGACAAUGGGCGAAAGCCUGAUCCAGCCAUUCCGCGUGCAGGAUGAAGGCCCUCGGGUUGUAAACUGCUUUUGUACAGAACGAAAAGGUUGCUACUAAUACUAGGAGCUCAUGACGGUACUGUAAGAAUAAGCACCGGCUAACUACGUGCCAGCAGCCGCGGUAA